AUCACUUCUCGGCCUUUUAGCUAAGAUCAAAUGUAGUAUCUGUUCUUAUCAGUAGAUCUUAUUUCUGGCCCUGUUCUCCAAAGGAGAAAAUUAAAGAAUGUGGACAUUAGAUUAAGUUAU
rnacentral:snRNA from 1 species